UACGAAGGACCCGAGCGUUAUCCGGAUUUAUUGGGUUUAAAGGGUGCGUAGGCGGACUUAUAAGUCAGUGGUGAAAUCCCCGAGCUUAACUUGGGAACUGCCGUUGAUACUAUCUGUCUUGAAUACCGUGGAGGUGAGCGGAAUAUGUCAUGUAGCGGUGAAAUGCUUAGAUAUGACAUAGAACACCAAUUGCGAAGGCAGCUCGCUACACGAAUAUUGACUCUGAGGCACGAAAGCGUGGGGAUCAAACAGG
rnacentral:rRNA from 1 species